UACGUAGGGUGCAAGCGUUUAAUCGGAAUUACUGGGCGUAAAGCGUGCGCAGGCGGUUGUGCAAGACAGAUGUGAAAUCCCCGGGCUCAACCUGGGAAUUGCAUUUGUGACUGCACGGCUAGAGUGUGUCAGAGGGGGGGUAGAAUUCCACGUGUAGCAGUGAAAAUGCGUAGAGAUGUGGAGGAAUACCGAUGGCGAAGGCAGCCCCCUGGGAUAACACUGACGCUCAUGCACGAAAGCGUGGGGAGCAAACAGG
rnacentral:rRNA from 1 species